GCCUUCGUGGUGUAAUGGUCAUCACACUGAGCCGGUAUUUCAGAGGUCCGCGGUUCGAUUCCCGGCGAAGGCG
rnacentral:tRNA from 1 species